rnacentral:rRNA from 1 species
UUGAUGGGAAACAGGUUAAUAUUCCUGUACCUCUUUGUAAUGCGAUGGGGGGGCGGAGAAGGUUAGGUCAGCCGGGUGUUGGACGUCCCGGUUCAAGCGUGUAGGAAGGUCUUUUAGGCAAAUCCGGAAGAUCAAUUCUGAGGCGUGAUAACGAGUGGUCUCUGACCGCGAAGUGAUUGAUACCAUGCUUCCAAGAAAAGCCUCUAAGCUUCAGUUACAGAGAGACCGUACCGCAAACCGACACAGGUGGGCAGGAUGAGAAUUCUAAGGCGCUUGAGAGAACUCAGGAGAAGGAACUCGGCAAAUUAGCACCGUAACUUCGGGAUAAGGUGCGCCCUGAUAAGUUGAAGCCCCUCGCGGGUGUAGGCUGAAAGGGUUGCAGUGAAAUGGUGGCUGCGACUGUUUAAUAAAAACACAGCACUCUGCAAACACGAAAGUGGACGUAUAGGGUGUGACGCCUGCCCGGUGCCGGAAGGUUAAGUGAUGGGGUGCAAGCUCUUGAUCGAAGCCCCGGUAAACGGCGGCCGUAACGAUAACGGUCCUAAGGUAGCGAAAUUCCUUGUCGGGUAAGUUCCGACCUGCACGAAUGGCGUAACGAUGGCCACACUGUCUCCUCCUGAGACUCAGCGAAGUUGAAAUGAUUGUGAAGAUGCAAUCUCCCCGCGGUUAGACGGAAAGACCCCAUGAACCUUUACUGUAGCUUUGCAUUGGACUUUGAACCAAUCUGUGUAGGAUAGGUGGGAGGCUGUGAAACUGGGACGCUAGUUCUGGUGGAGCCAACCUUGAAAUACCACCCUGGUUUGUUUGAGGUUCUAACCAUGGCCCGUGAAUCCGGGUCUGGGACCGUGCAUGGUAGGCAGUUUGACUGGGGCGGUCUCCUCCUAAAGUGUAACGGAGGAGUACGAAGGUACGCUAGGUACGGUCGGACAUCGUGCUGAUAGUGCAAUGGCAUAAGCGUGCUUGACUGCGAGACACACACGUCGAGCAGGUACGAAAGUAGGUCAUAGUGAUCCGGUGGUUCUGUAUGGAAGGGCCAUCGCUCAACGGAUAAAAGGUACUCUGGGGAUAACAGGCUAAUACCGCCCAAGAGUUCAUAUCGACGGCGGUGUUUGGCACCUCGAUGUCGGCUCAUCACAUCCUGGGGCUGUAGUCGGUCUCAAGGGUAUGGCUGUUCGCCAUUUAAAGUGGUACGUGAGCUGGGUUUAAAACGUCGUGAGACAGUUUGGUCCCUAUCUGCCGUGGGCGCUGGAAAUUUGAAGGGGGCUGCUCCUAGUACGAGAGGACCGGAGUGGACGAACCUCUGGUGUACCGGUUAUGACGCCAGUCGUAUUGCCGGGUAGCUAAGUUCGGAAGAGAUAAACGCUGAAAGCAUCUAAGCGUGAAACUCGCCUUGAGAUAAGAUUUCCCUGGGGACUUGAUCCCCCUGAAGGGUCGUGGUAGACCACCACGUUGAUAGGCUGGGUGUGGAAGCGCAGCAAUGCGUUAAGCUAACCAGUACUAAUUGCCCGUGAGGCUUGAUCC